rnacentral:rRNA from 1 species
UGGCUUCUGGAGCUAACGCGUUAAGUAGUCCGCCUGGGGAGUACGGCCGCAAGGUUAAAACUCAAAUGAAUUGACGGGGGCCCGCACCAGCGGUGGAGCAUGUGGUUUAAUUCGAUGCAACGCGAAGAACCUUACCUGGUCUUGACAUCCUCGGAAGUUUUCAGAGAUGAGAAUGUCCCUUCGGGAACAGUGAGACAGGUGGUGCAUGGUUGUCGUCAGCUCGUGUUGUGAAAUGUUGGGUUAAGUCCCGCAACGAGCGCAACCCUUAUCCUUUGUUGCCAGCGGUCCGGCGGGGAAUUCAAAGGAGACUCCCAGUGAUAAACGGGAGGAAGGUGGGGAUGAGGUCAA